GACGAACGCUGGCGGCGUGCUUAACACAUGCAAGUCGAACGGUGAAGCGAGUGCUUGCACUCGUGGAUCAGUGGCGAACGGGUGAGUAACACGUGAGUAACCUGCCCAUCACUCUGGGAUAAGCACUGGAAACGGUGUCUAAUACUGGAUACGACCAACCCUUGCAUGGGGUGUUGGUGGAAAGAUUUAUCGGUGAUGGAUGGACUCGCGGCCUAUCAGCUUGUUGGCGGGGUAAUGGCCCACCAAGGCGACGACGGGUAGCCGGCCUGAGAGGGUGACCGGCCACACUGGGACUGAGACACGGCCCAGACUCCUACGGGAGGCAGCAGUGGGGAAUAUUGCACAAUGGGCGAAAGCCUGAUGCAGCGACGCCGCGUGAGGGAUGACGGCCUUCGGGUUGUAAACCUCUUUCAGCAGGGAAGAAGCGAAGGUGACGGUACCUGCAGAAGAAGCACCGGCUAACUACGUG
rnacentral:rRNA from 1 species